AGCUCCAAUAGCGUAUAUUAAAGUUGUUGCAGUUAAAAAGCUCGUAGUUGGAUUUCUGGCGUCGCCGCCCGGUUGGCCUCGAAAGGGGUAUGUACUGGGGCGCGCGUUGCCAUCCUCGGGGGAAGGUCGUCUGGCAUUAGGUUGUCGGACGGUCGACGCUCGUCGUUUACUGUGAACAAAUUAGAGUGUUCAAAGCAGGCUUAGGCCGUUGAAUACAUUAGCAUGGAAUAAUGAGAUAGGACUUUGGUGGUCUAUUUUGUUGGUUUGCACGCCGAAGUAAUGAUUAAUAGGGGCGGUUGGGGGUAUUCGUAUUCAAUUGUCAGAGGUGAAAUUCUUGGAUUUAUGGAAGACGAACUACUGCGAAAGCAUUUACCAAGGAUGUUUUCAUUA
rnacentral:rRNA from 1 species